rnacentral:rRNA from 1 species
AGUGAACGCUGGCGGUAGGCCUAACACAUGCAAGUCGAACGGCAGCACAGUAAGAGCUUGCUCUUACGGGUGGCGAGUGGCGGACGGGUGAGGAAUACAUCGGAAUCUACUUUUUCGUGGGGGAUAACGUAGGGAAACUUACGCUAAUACCGCAUACGACCUACGGGUGAAAGCAGGGGAUCUUCGGACCUUGCGCGAUUGAAUGAGCCGAUGUCGGAUUAGCUAGUUGGCGGGGUAAAGGCCCACCAAGGCGACAAUCCGUAGCUGGUCUGAGAGGAUGAUCAGCCACACUGGAACUGAGACACGGUCCAGACUCCUACGGGAGGCAGCAGUGGGGAAUAUUGGACAAUGGGCGCAAGCCUGAUCCAGCCAUACCGCGUGGGUGAAGAAGGCCUUCGGGUUGUAAAGCCCUUUUGUUGGGAAAGAAAAGCAGCAGGUUAAUACCCCGCUGUUCUGACGGUACCCAAAGAAUAAGCACCGGCUAGCUUCGUG